CUAGAUAUAGUUUAAAAUAAAAACAUUGGCUUUGGGAGCUAAAUAUACCUUUAUGGGUUUUCUAGA
rnacentral:tRNA from 1 species